rnacentral:lncRNA from 1 species
AAACGCCCGAGAAACCCUAGCUCCCGACCUCAGCUGUUUCUUACCUCACUCAGCUCGGCCGAGGAGUCGUUUCCAUAUUUCAUGGCAACUCCAGAAUUCAUGAUGCACUUUUCAGAGCUGGGCUCUCAGUCCCCCAGGUCUCGGAGCUUAAGAGUUGGACUUCACAGGCUCAAUAUCCACUGCUUGGUCCCUUCUGCCACAUUUUAGUCUAGACAGCCAUUUUCACCCAGGACAGUUGCGAAGCGCAAACGGAGAAUGCAGGCACUCUUAAAAGGAGCAGCCGUGGCUCGCGUUUCACGGACGAGCCAUUGCUGCAG